rfam:Camelus ferus unplaced genomic scaffold scaffold2524, whole genome shotgun sequence.
GAGGGGAUAUCUCAACUGGUAGAGCACAUGCUUAGCAUGCAGAAGUCCUGGGUUCAAUCCCCAGUACCUCCU